GGCCCAAUGGCCGGGUCUGGUGUCCGCCUCGCGGAAGAAUCGGGAAGCUGGUGAAACUCCGGCACGUGCCCAACGCUGUAAUGGGGAUGGUUUGCGCAUAGGCCACUGGAAUAUUCCGGGAAGGCGCGCGGACCAGACGACCCUAAGUCAGAAGACCGGCCAGACAGUACAGCUUGCCC
rnacentral:ncRNA from 21 species